UUCCUUCCCUUUCCCUUCCCCCCAAAUAGAUUUCCCCUAAUCCCUAAAUUCCCCCCCAAAUCCCUAGGCAUCUGAAGCUCUUCAGCAAACACGACCACCUACUCAUCGUCGUCUGCUGCCGUCUCUGCUGCGUCUCCUUGCCAUCCGUUGUCGUCUCUGCUGCUUCCCGUCGCUGUCCGCUAUCGUCUCUGCUGCAACCAGUGGGGUUAGAUUUUUACAUCAAAGUGGAUUGAAGAGGUACAAACUGAGCGGGGUAGUGAAUUAAUCUAGUUUACAACUGCUUUGGCUUCUGGCUGUGGUCAUUAAGUUGAUGUGAAAUUGUCGGUAGCCCUCUAUAUUUCAGUUACUACUUCUGCUCCUCCUGUAACUAUUGGUUCAACUGAAGCUGCCAUUUAAUCUUCGAAUUAAUAUUUGGUACUGUCGAGCAACUAAAUUAAUAUUUGGUGCAACUAAAUACACCACAGCCAUGGACAUCUGUUUUAGGAAUGGCUGUUCAGAGGCACGAGUAGAGGUGCGUGUGAAGGAGGCCGUGCGUGGGAAACCACUUGUGGGAGCCCGAUCCUGGCUAGCUGCUGGCGUAUUCUAGAAACCUUUAGGGUUUUUGGUGCUUCCACACUAUUGGGCUCAUUUGGGCCAUGCGUAAAUUGGGUUAGGAAUUAAAUUAGGGGUUUUGGGCGUAGGUUUAUUAAGUUUAACAUUUGGGCUGUUAUUUUUGGGUUAAAUGAAUUGCAAAUGGACUUUUUGGACUAAUUUUAUUUAUUUAUUUUGGUUUUUUUGGUUUAGUUUUUGUAUGGGCCCGGGCAAAUUGGGCCUAUUACAAUGAUGUAGUAAGAUUUUAAGAUUUUUUAAUUAUAUGUAAUAUUAUA